ACUCAAAGGAAUUGACGGGGGCCCGCACAAGCGGUGGAGCAUGUGGUUCAAUUCGAUGCAGAGCGAAGAACCUUACCUGGGCUUGACAUGAGGGAAGUAGGAGCGGGAAACCGCGACGACUCGUUAAGGCGAGAGCCCUCACAGGUGGUGCAUGGCUGUCGUCAGCUCGUGCCGUGAGGUGUUGGGUUAAGUCCCGCAACGAGCGCAACCCUCACCCGAUGUUGCGACCAGUUCGGCUGAGCACUCUUCGGGAACUGCCGGCGAAGAGCUGGAGGAAGGGGGGGAUGACGUCAAGUCCGUAUGCCCCUGAUGUCCAGGGCUACACACAUGCUACAAUGCGCGGUACAGAGGGCUGCGAACUCGCGAGAGGGAGCCAAUCCCAGAAAGCCGCGCUCAGUUCGGAUUGCAGGCUGCAACUCGCCUGCAUGAAGUCGGAAUCGCUAGUAAGCGCAGAUCAGCAGGCUGCGCUGAAUACGUUCCCGGGCCUUGUACACACCGCCCGU
rnacentral:rRNA from 1 species